AGAGGAUCUCAUAAUAGUUCUUAUAUUCCUCUUCGACACAAAUAAUAUUCUCCAUAUAUGUCUCAUUGUGAAUAGGUAAUGUACUUUGGCUAGUACCUGCUGCAUUCGUAUUUUGCAUAGUAAUGUCACCUGCAUCAAUAUGCUUCUUACUCCCUUCAGAUGGAAACACUUCUCUAUGUCAUUCCUCGGGGCAUCUAAGCAAUAUGCGCACCUUUGAUAAAAAUCAAACUUCUUUGGAAGAGUGUUUCGCAUUUUUAUCUAAAUCGGCUUCAACAUGUCCAAUGUCCUUAAACUCUCGAAUAGAUUGCCAUAUGAGUCUCCCAAUGGAGUGAAAGUUUUGUUUAUCUGAAACCUCUCGUUCUUGAAUGUUUGAUUGGGGCAGAAACAUGAUCUAGGAGGGUUUUGGUAGGCCUUUGGGGGAGAGUAAGAUAUUUGUGGGCAUGGUGCGGUCCAUUGCGAGCCUCAUGGAUGAGGAGCAUAUGGUGGUGCAUUGGGGACGGGGUAUUGGGAAAGUGAAGUACGAUUUUGGUGGUUCUGUAAGGAGAAGUAGCAGUGGGGAGGAUGACAAGGAUAUCUGCGGGGUCGAUAUUGAGGCUGAAAGUGUUUAACAAGAUUUUCCACUGGAUCAUAUCAUUGGCAGGGCUAAAC
rnacentral:lncRNA from 1 species